UGUCAGACCAAGGAGUAAGGCUGAUACUGGGCUCUCUGAAGAAUGUCAGACAUCUUGGGCCCUCCUCUGGUGAUUCAUCUGACCCCUCAAUGCUGUGUCAACUCUGGACAAAUUUGCUGAGCAGUGUGGCAGAGAUGGACUUCACCAGCUUACUUGGUCUCUGUGGAAAUGAGUUGCACCUUCCAGUCCAGGGUGAAAGACGAGUGUUUGAGAGAGCAGAAGAAGUGAUGAAGCAGAGUCUAGAGAGGGUUCAUCUCUGUCUACACUGGGGUCAGAGAACUCUUCUCAGUGAAGCUCUCAGCAAAACCAUUUUAGACUGUUUAUCACAUAUCAACAAACUCAGGUUUACCCCACUAGAACAUCAGAGAGGAUCCCCUGAAAGACUGGAGACAGAAGAGAAAGCAGUCCUACUAGAUUUGUGUCUACAAGCAGCACUAGAUCACAGAGAAACUUUCCAGAGAGCUGUGAACACACUGCUGUCACUGUUCUCUGUGUAUCAAACUGAGAGAUAUGACAUCCUGUUGGAUCUGUACUCACAUGUGAAGUACAAUAGGAAUCAAACAGCCAGGAGUGUCCUUCCAUCAUUGAAACCACUUUACCAGUCAGCUCCUGCAGUCUGGUCCAUAGACCUCUCAAAGAGAAAGGCCUCCCUCCUCCUA